UAAAUAGCUCAGAUUUAGCUGAAAAGUUGGAGCAAGCAGAGAAUCAGUUGGCGCACUCACGCUUUGGGUCACUAAUUGCACCCACACCUAGAAAGAAAGAAGUUGAUGAGGACACGUUAAUAUUGGUUAGAGGUUGUGUUAAGCCGAUGAGGCAGCAAGGGGGUCAUGGUGUACCUUUGCUAGGUGCUCAUCACUAAGGUACUGGAAAAUGAGAUGUGAUAAAGAACCAGAGAAAGGAAUUAGAAGCAAGUAAAGGAUGGACAUCAAGGAAUGAGGACCAUUUGAAAGUGAGAGAGCUGAGUGAUGGCUAAGUAUGCAGUCACUGACAGAACUGACCUCUUUGGAAGUCAUGGUAUAAGCAUCUAGCGUCCGUCAGCCGGUUCAUGAUGAUUCGUUGUGCGGGAAAGACCCGGAGCGUAAUGACUAUUACUGAAGCUUUCGACGAGGACCCGGACUUCAGGCCUGAUCGAGGAAGGGUCGAUGAAAGUAGUGUGGGUUAUGGGUGGUUAGAGUCUUUGAGAUGGUUGUUAGAGUCAUAGCUCUGAUUGUCAUUCCUUAUUUUGGGGCAGGGCAGGUCCCCGACUAUUAGCUUUUCAUGUGAUUCCCUUCCAUGAGGAUCACAGGGAGUUUGUCGGACGUAGGAAGUCUUUUGAGGCCGUUUUGGGCCGACUUACUUUCGUUGGAGGACUGUACUCAGAAUACUUAACCUUUGUUUUAGUUUGUACAUAUUUGCCCACGGGCACUACCUUUCCGUCACUGGAGGUCACUCGUGACGAUGUUUAGUUGCAGCGAGGGCUGUGCUUGUAUUGUAUAUUAAUCGCUGUUAAUCGCGAUUGGGUUGAGUCUUUAUUUCGACAAGUCUUUUUAUUUAAACAAAACAAAAAAAAAUACCUGCUUUUUCCGCUUUAUUUUAUUUUGAGUUACUAAAGUGACGCCACCGAAAUCGGGGUGUUACAAUUUCUCGAAUCAUCCGACUCAUCUCCAUCCGAUGGUCAAAAACUGCUCAGCGAGCAAAAAGUACCAACGUACUUGGAAACUACCCGUUUCCCGGCUUAUCUUUUAGAUAACCAAACAACAAAACUGCUCAUCGAGCAAAAGAGCAUCAAAGUACUCAGAAACUUAUUAAUUUUCCCGACUAAUCUUUUAGAUAGUCAAACAACAAAACUGCUCCUCGAGCAAAGAGUAUCAACAUACUCGGAAACUCAUUAGUUUCCCCAAAACUUGGACUCGGCGACACUUCUCAUUUUCCAAAACUAAUAUUCAAGUCCUAAGCUCUUAUUUGCGAUUGUGAUCAUUAUUUAAAGGUUCAGAGGUUGUUUAGUGUCUUAUGAAUUUUCCUUGUAAAAUAGUUUCCAUUUUGUUUUGUCUCUAACCUUAUGAGUUUAAAAGAUCCCAUAAUCCCAAGUGAUUCCCAGAAAAGGUCUCGAUCCAUCAAAACAAUAACAAGGCCCGAACCUCUGUUCGUCCCGUCAAACUUUCUCAAAAUCUCAUGAUAAAUUUGGCAUAACUGCCCGUUAUCCUCUCUGACGUACAACAGAUAUAUGUGUAACUCCAUAAUCAAAGUAACGCAAUCCAACAGUCAUGGCACAUAUCAACACAUCAUAGAAUAACCAUUUAGCACAUAGCAUGUGAAUCAUUAUCAGCACAUCCUAGAUUAACCAUUUAGCACAUAGCAUGUGAAUCAAUCUCAACCAAUUCAAGCAAUAAAUGAUUAUCAAUUGUCAGUCGUAGCCUCAGAAAACAUUUUUCCCAGUCAAACACAAUCAAGUGCAUAAACAAUAAAUCAAGUCGAAUUCGUCGACACCUAAAUCAUUAUCUAGUAUUCAGUGAGUAGCCCUCACCUGUAGUUCCUCCAGGGUGUUCCUCAAGUUCUCCUUCACAACCUUCCUCUCCGACUCCACAGAGUUCCUCAAACGAACCUUAAAGAAAAUUCACAUAAAUCAAUCACAAUGAGUCAGAAACUCAGCAAACAAUAAGUAUUAGGGUUACACGAAGCAUUAUAAACCUCGAAGUACGAUAAUCUAACGCGUUAAGACAAGUUUUCGAAAAACAAAAUUUUCCUCCCCCUAAAGAGGAGCUCUCGGCCACACAUCAUAAUUGUGUGCGUCGAUUUUUCUUCGAUCAAACUUGGUUCCUAGGUUAUCAUUAGUCGUAACUAAGACGAAUCUAAGCUCGGAAAAAUUUUCGGAUGGAAAACUGUCGCAGGGGUAUUUUGGUCAAUAU